rnacentral:rRNA from 1 species
UACGAAGGGGGCUAGCGUUGCUCGGAAUUACUGGGCGUAAAGCGUGCGCAGGCGGUUGUGCAAGACAGAGGUGAAAUCCCCGGGCUUAACCUGGGAAUGGCCUUUGUGACUGCACGGCUAGAGUGUGUCAGAGGGGGGUAGAAUUCCACGUGUAGCAGUGAAAUGCGUAGAGAUGUGGAGGAAUACCGAUGGCGAAGGCAGCCCCCUGGGAUAACACUGACGCUCAUGCACGAAAGCGUGGGGAGCAAACAGG